ACAUUUUCUUAUAAUUAUUUAUUAUUGAAAAUUGAUUUCUAAAUUCAUAUAUAUAUAUAAGAGAGAGAGAGAGAGAGAGACUGCGUACGGAUGAUCUUUCUGUAUUGUGUAAUAAAUUAAAUCGAUUAUAAUAUCGUUAGGAUCUACAAUUUUACAUAUAUUCACUCUAUCAAAGAGGAAAAAGAAUCCUAAAAGGAUAGAAACAAGUACAUAUUGAUUGCACCUUUGAGCAAUACUGAAAACUUCAUAAGAAUCAAAACAAUUAAAGAGCCAGAGAAUAUAAAAAAAGAAAAGAAUUAUUAAAAUAAAAAUAAAAAGAUUUUUGAAUAGUCUAAUGGCCGGGACCUCUUUUGCUUGGUCCAGACUCCAAUUUGAACAUCAAGCUCCGUAUAGCAGAACCACCGUUGCUACCAUUAGUACUGUCAUUAUUGGCAACCGCCACGUCGAACCGAGUCACGCUCAUCGAGUUAGCUCCUUCACCGGGUUGAUCGCAUUCGGCAGCAAUCGUAUUAUCGGUCGACGGUGUUGAUUUCUUCAGAGCUCUGCAUUCCACAACACUACUGAGCUGUGAAAUCAUGAACAAAAUCAUGAUACUCAAAACUAGACAAAAACUCUUCUUUGCCAUUGCCAUUAAUUUGUAUGUAUUGUCUUUACUAUUUUCUCUCUCCUCUCUGGAUUGUUUUUCUCUCUCUAGAUUUGCUCGGAAAAGUAGGUGUCGACGUUAAUGUGUGAGAUUGUUGAUGAAGCAACAAGGUGUGGAGCUACUGGUUUAUAAAUAGGGAGGACGGUAGAGGGCUUUUGAAUUAACUGUGAGCCGGGCCCGUUAAUGACUAAGGAAUGUUUGACUUGGCGCUGCA
rnacentral:lncRNA from 1 species